ACGAACGCUGGCGGCAUGCCUAACACAUGCAAGUCGAACGAGACCUUCGGGUCUAGUGGCGCACGGGUGCGUAACGCGUGGGAACCUGCCCUUAGGUUCGGAAUAACUCCCCGAAAGGGGUGCUAAUACCGGAUAAUGUCUUCGGACCAAAGAUUUAUCGCCUUUGGAUGGGCCCGCGUUGGAUUAGCUAGUUGGUAGGGUAAAAGCCUACCAAGGCGACGAUCCAUAGCUGGUCUGAGAGGAUGAUCAGCCACACUGGGACUGAGACACGGCCCAGACUCCUACGGGAGGCAGCAGUGGGGAAUAUUGGUCAAUGGGCGAAAGCCUGAUCCAGCAAUGCCGCGUGAGUGAUGAAGGCCUUAGGGUUGUAAAGCUCUUUUACCCGGGAUGAUAAUGACAGUACCGGGAGAAUAAGCUCCGGCUAACUCCGUG
rnacentral:rRNA from 1 species